rnacentral:rRNA from 1 species
GACGAACGCUGGCGGCGUACUUAACACAUGCAAGUCGAACGCUGAAGCUUGGUGCUUGCACUGGGUGGAUGAGUGGCGAACGGGUGAGUAAUACGUGAGUAACCUGCCCUUGACUCUGGGAUAAGCCUGGGAAACUGGGUCUAAUACUGGAUACGACAUGUCACCGCAUGGUGGUGUGUGGAAAGGGUUUUACUGGUUUUGGAUGGGCUCACGGCCUAUCAGCUUGUUGGUGGGGUAAUGGCUCACCAAGGCGACGACGGGUAGCCGGCCUGAGAGGGUGACCGGCCACACUGGGACUGAGACACGGCCCAGACUCCUACGGGAGGCAGCAGUGGGGAAUAUUGCACAAUGGGCGGAAGCCUGAUGCAGCGACGCCGCGUGAGGGAUGACGGCCUUCGGGUUGUAAACCUCUUUCAGCACGGAAGAAGCGAAAGUGACGGUACGUGCAGAAGAAGCGCCGGCUAACUACGUG